UCGGCUCUUGGUCGACCAGAACACGGCACCAUUUAGGACAGGCCCCAUCAAGAAAGGUUUACACUAAUCUCCUCAAAGUAGUUUCUGACUCGAUGCGACAAUACCUCUCAGGCCCUCUGAUCUAUCUGUUGAGGCGGGGUAUAAAGUCCUCGCCUCCCGCCUGGAGAAGGGCCCACGUUGAGCCACACUCAACCGCGCAGCAUGACGAGAGGAAGCCUGAGCGCGAGUUCCCUCAACGGGACAUCUUUCUCCUUACCAUCAUACUUUCCUUUUUAUGUUGGAGCAACAGACAUCUCCUCAUGCUUGACAAACACGAUUCUAUCAACAACACAGACAAAAAAAAAGCGCGAUCCUUCAGCAUAGAAGUGAUUCAUUCCGUGGGUCUUUCCGGGGAAGCAGCCGCACAACAAGCCAUGCACAUCCAGCCACCAGACGGAGGCGCACUGCACCAUCCGGCGAUGCUGACUUGGGCGCAUUUUGGAGACACAAAUUCACUUCACCCAGUUUACUAGAGGCGUCUAAGUGGUUAUAAUCAAGUUCUGUAGAACGGACAACCGGACAGUCUAUAGGGGAACCUUCGUGCGGAGAUCCCGCACUAUCUACACACCGACAACCAGCUGACUAAACUAGAUGAGGUGUGCAGUAAGCAGCGGUACAUGACCGGGACCGAGAAGAUUAUUCUGGCCUCAUCGCUGAGACACGGGUCAAGGUCUGGUUCCAGGACAGGAGAACGCGGUGGAGGAAGGCCCACGGGGACAUUAUCGGUGUACCGGAGAGACACGCUCACGGUGAAACGUCGAGCAAGGAGGAGGAUGAGUUGGACAAUGACGAGUUUUUUUAAAUAUGUUUUAUAUUAGUAAAUGCCUUGAGCCCACCACACACAUUCAUGGUGAUUCUUGAAUUCUUAUUAUUGUCAAACAAGAGAUAAUAUUGCCGAUAUUUUACCACUGCGUGGCCUGGCAUGGUAUGCUUGUGCUCAUCAGCUGACAACUAGGCUAUGAGUCACUGAAGAUUUAGCCAUAUAAUUUGUGUAAUAUAUUUUAUAUUCCCCAUAUCACAACAUUCCUUAUGUGAUUUAAUUUUCCCCUGCAUUCCUUUUACACAUGCAGUUUUUAUUGGGUUUCCUUUCAGUUUAUGUGGCGGCAUUUAUCCACGUACCGAACCCAGGAUAUAGGCCUAGCUUUAUACCGAACCCAGGAUAUAGGCCUAGCUUUAUACCGAACCCAGGAUAUAGGCCUAGCUUUAUACCGAACCCAGGAUAUAGGCCUAGCUUUAUACCGAACCCAGGAUAUAGGCCUAGCUUUAUACCGAAC